GUGAGUUAUUUCGUUUGGCAGCCAUCAGGUCAAUACAUUUGUCUUCAGCCCUUUUUGUACAGGGAGGCAUUACAAACUCUUGCGUUCUUCAUACCAUGUAACUUGGUGCUGACUUAUGACUUUUCCUUAAGAAUCAUGUGUGGAUUACAACAAUGGGCAUUCAAUCUUAGUAGGUUUACUAAGCCCACCUUGAAGGAAGAGCAGAUGCUGAGAGAUUCCUUAUCCGGAAGCAUAAUGUUUAAGGGAAGAUGGGAAGUUAGCCUGGAACAGUUGCUAAGGACUCAGUGUGACAUCAUGUUGAUAAAGAAACACCAGGAAACAAACUCCUGCUGCAAGACUUCUAGAAAAAUGCCAAUCUGCUUUUUGUGAGGUCUGUCUGACUUGUGUUCCAGACGUUAAAACAGACACCACAGGAAGGUACUGGAGUAUAACUCAGUGGCAUAGUGCUUGCUUGCCUUUAGGCCCUGGUUUCCUAGCCCUGGAAAAAAAUCUAGGAGGCCAGGCUUUAGAUGAGGCCCAUGCACUAAAUUCUGACAGACCAGGAUAAAAAUGAA
rnacentral:lncRNA from 1 species